rnacentral:rRNA from 1 species
AACGAACGCUGGCGGCAUGCCUAACACAUGCAAGUCGAACGAGACCUUCGGGUCUAGUGGCGCACGGGUGCGUAACGCGUGGGAAUCUACCCUCAGGUUCGGAAUAACUCAGAGAAAUUUGAGCUAAUACCGGAUGAUGACGUAUGUCCAAAGAUUUAUCGCCUGAGGAUGAGCCCGCGUAGGAUUAGGUAGUUGGUGAGGUAAAGGCUCACCAAGCCGACGAUCCUUAGCUGGUCUGAGAGGAUGAUCAGCCACACUGGGACUGAGACACGGCCCAGACUCCUACGGGAGGCAGCAGUGGGGAAUAUUGGACAAUGGGCGAAAGCCUGAUCCAGCAAUGCCGCGUGAGUGAUGAAGGCCUUAGGGUUGUAAAGCUCUUUUACCCGGGAUGAUAAUGACAGUACCGGGAGAAUAAGCUCCGGCUAACUCCGUG